GUUUUUGUCGAGCCUGCGACUUUUGUCGCAGAAAGCUCGACAUAGGGAUAGCGAUCCGGCGGCGGCGGCGGCGUUAGCUAACUUCUUAAAAGCUUUAUAUUUUAGAAGAUGGAAGACCUGGAUGCUUCAUACUUUGUAUAUGGAUGCCUCAUGUUACGAAGUUUCCGUCAGUCACAUGUCCAAUGUCCUUGACCUCAUUUUCAUGGUUGAGUGACUACUUGAAAAAAAAGUUAAGAUUUUUUGUAAUGUUAAAUUCUCUCUUAUUAUAAGUAAUAGGAUAACUAUAUUUGGUAUGUGCGUACCUUGCAAGGUCCUCAUGCCCGUCAGACAGUUUUCACUUGACCUCGACCUCAUUUCAUGGAUCAGUGAACAAGGUUAAGUUUUCGUGGUCAAGUCCAUAUCUCAGAUACUAUAAGCAAUAGGUCUAGUAUAUUUGGUGUAUGGAAGGACUGUAAGGUGUACAUGUCCAACUGGCAGGUGUCAUCUGACCUUGACCUCAUUUUCAUGGUUCAGUGGUCAAAGUUAAGUUUUUGAGUUUUGGUCUUUCUUUCUAAUACUGCAUGCAAUAGGUCAGCUAUAUUUGGUGUAUGGAAUGAUUGUAAGGUGUACAUGUCUAGCUGGCAGGUGUCAUCUUACCUUGACCUCAUUUUCAUGGUUCAGUGGUCAAAGUUAAGUUUUUGAGUUUUGGUCUUUUUUUCUAAUACUAUAUGCAAUAGUUCAACUAUAUUUGGUGUAUGGAAAUAUUUUAUGAUCUAUAUGUCAGUCAAGCAGGUUUUAUUUGACCUUGACCUCAUUUUCAAGGUUCAUUGCUCAGUGUUAAGUUUUUGUGUUUUCGUCUGUUUUUCUUAAACUAUAAGCAAUAGGUCAACUAUAUUUGUUGUAUGGAAGAAUUGUUAGCUGUACAUGCCUGCCUAGCAUGGUUCAUCUGACCUUGACCUCAUUUUCAUGGUUCAUUGGUCAAUGUUUAGUUUACUUGGUUAAUGUUAAGUUUAUGUGACAGUUGUAAUAAAGCUUUAUAUUUAGGACUAUCAACAUAAUAUCAAUGAUUAGUAAAGAAGGCGAGACAUUUCAGCGUGUGCACUCUUGUAUUAAUAU